UACGUAGGUGGCAAGCGUUGUUCGGAAUUACUGGGCGUAAAGGGCGCGCAGGCGGCCUUAGUAGUCAGGCGUGAAAGCCCCGGGCUUAACCUGGGAAUUGCGCUUGAUACUCUGAGGCUUGAGUUCGGGAGAGGUGAGUGGAAUUCCCAGUGUAGAGGUGAAAUUCGUAGAUAUUGGGAAGAACACCGGUGGCGAAGGCGGCUCACUGGACCGAUACUGACGCUGAGGCGCGAAAGCGUGGGGAGCAAACAGG
rnacentral:rRNA from 1 species